CGGCACUCCAGAUGUUUUGGACUACAACUCCCAUGAUGCUUUGCCAGCAUUUUGGGUGUAAGAGCAUUAUAGGGGGUGUAGUCCACAACAUCUGUAGUGCCG
rnacentral:miRNA from 1 species